rnacentral:rRNA from 1 species
UACGGGGGGGGCAAGCGUUGUUCGGAAUUACUGGGCGUAAAGGGCUCGUAGGUGGCCAACUAAGUCAGACGUGAAAUCCCUCAGCUUAACUGGGGAACUGCGUCUGAUACUGGAUGGCUUGAGUUUGGGAGAGGGACGCGGAAUUCCAGGUGUAGCGGUGAAAUGCGUAGAUAUCAGGAGGAACACCGGUGGCGAAGGCGGGUCUCUGGGCAGUAACUGACGCUGAGGAGCGAAAGCGUGGGGAGCAAACAGG